AUUGAACGCUGGCGGCAGGCCUAACACAUGCAAGUCGAACGAGUGGCGGACGGGUGAGUAAUGUCUGGGCAACUUCCUGAUGGAGGGGGACAACUAAUGGAAACGGAUGCUAAAUCCGUAUUCCAUAGGCUGUGUCCAGAUGGGAUUAGGUAGUGGGUGGGGUAUCGGCUCACCAAGGCGACGAUCCCUAGCUGGUCUGAGAGGAUGACCAGCCACACUGGAACUGAGACACGGUCCAGACUCCUACGGGAGGCAGCAGUGGGGAAUAUUGGACAAUGGGCGAAAGCCUGAUGCAGCCAUGCCGCGUGUGUGAAGAAGGCCUUCGGGUUGUAAAGUACUUUCAGCGGGGAGGCGUUACCCGCAGAAGAAGCACCGGCUAACUCCGUGCCAGCAGCCGCGGUAAUUC
rnacentral:rRNA from 1 species